UAAACAUUUUUUUAAAUAUAUUUGUAUAUGGCUAACUAUACUUCUAAAAGAACAGUAUUAUGUGAGCAACAAACAAAUAUCUUACGCAUUGCACGUGUAUCCGUUGUUUGAAAUAAUCAUCAUAAACAUUGGUAAACUCUCAUCUGUCAAGGUUAUCUCAUAAGGAUUCAAAUAAAGAGGCGUGAAGAACCGCAGGUCAGCGACCCUUCACAUCCAUCAAGAAAUUAUAGCACAAACAGUAAAUGAUCUAAGUAUUGGUCAGAUCAACAAGGAACCAAUCCAUAUAAAGCGAAGCGAGUCACCGACCCUGAUGCAAGAGAAAUGCUUAUGUAAUCCGCCCGAGCCUUGAACUGUGAUCUCACCAGAUCACUCGCUAGCUGUUUCAUACGGUCUGUGAAUGU